rnacentral:tRNA from 1 species
GGCCGGGUAGCCAAGUGGUAAGGCAGAGGACUGCAAAUCCUUUAUCCGCGGGUUCGAUUCCCGCCCCGGCCU